UACAGAGGUCUCAAGCGUUUGUUCGGGAUUCAUUUGGGCGUAAAGGGUGCGUAGGCGGCGCGGUAAGUCGGGUGUGAAAUCUCGGGGCUUAACUCCGAAACUGCAUUCGAUACUGCCGUGCUUGAGGACUGGAGAGGAGACUGGAAUUUACGGUGUAGCGGUGAAAUGCGUAGAUAUCGUAAGGAAGACCAGUGGCGAAGGCGGGUCUCUGGACAGUUCCUGACGCUGAGGCACGGAAGGCCCAGGGGGAGCAAACGGG
rnacentral:rRNA from 1 species